AGGAGGUGUUAGCGCAAGCGAAGCACUGAAUUUAAGCCCCAGUAAACGGCGGCCGUAACGAUAACGGUCCUAAGGUAGCGAAAUUCCUUGUCGGGUAAGUUCCGACCCGCACGAAAGGCGUAAUGAUUUGAGCGCUGUCUCGACAAUGCAUCCGGUGAAAUUGAAGUACCAGUGAAGAUGCUGGUUACCUGCGCCAGGACGGAAAGACCCCGUCGAGCUUUACUGUAAUUUGAUAUUGAAUCUUGACUCCACCUGUACAGGAUAGGUGGGAGCCGAUGA
rnacentral:rRNA from 1 species